GGAAGGAGUCACUGGCUCCACCUGACCACCUUGUUCCUCGCACUCUCAUCAUCCUCCGUAACACUGCUUCCAGUCUCUGCUCGGCUACCCAGGACGAUAGCAAACACAACUUCUGCCCAUUAAUGAUGGUCCACCAAGCACGUGGUUAUGUUGUGCGGGACGAGGGGCCGGGACGAGGCGGGACGAGGCGCCGGGACGAGGGGCCGGGACGAGGGGC